rnacentral:rRNA from 1 species
UACCAGACUCCUACGGGAGGCAGCAGUGAGGAAUAUUGGUCAAUGGCCGGGAGGCUGAACCAGCCAAGUCGCGUGAGGGAAGACGGCCCUACGGGUUGUAAACCUCUUUUGUCAGGGAGCAACGCCGGCUACGUGUAGCCGGACUGACAGUACCUGAAGAAAAAGCAUCGGCUAACUCCGUGCCAGCAGCCGCGGUAAUACGGAGGAUGCGAGCGUUAUCCGGAUUUAUUGGGUUUAAAGGGUGCGUAGGCGGAGUGCCAAGUCAGCGGUAAAAUCGCGGGGCUCAACCUCGGUCCGCCGUUGAAACUGGCGUUCUUGAGUGGGCGAGAAGUAUGCGGAAUGCGUGGUGUAGCGGUGAAAUGCAUAGAUAUCACGCAGAACUCCGAUUGCGAAGGCAGCAUACCGGCGCCCAACUGACGCUGAAGCGCGAAAGCGUGGGUAUCGAACAGGAUUAGAUACCCGAGUAAUG